rnacentral:rRNA from 1 species
AUUGAACGCUGGCGGCCGGCCUAACACAUGCAAGUCGAACGAGUGGCGGACGGGUGAGUAAUGUCUGGGCAACUGCCUGAUGGAGGGGGAUAACUACUGGAAACGGUAGCUAAUACUGCAUACCAUAAGAUGUGCUCAGAUGGGAGUAGAUUGUUGGUGGGGUAACGGCUCACCAAGGCGACGAUCCCUAGCCGGUCUGAGAGGAUGACCCGCCACACUGGAACUGAGACACGGUCCAGACUCCUACGGGAGGCAGCAGUGGGGAAUAUUGCGCAAUGGGCGAAAGCCUGAUCCAGCCAUGCCGCGUGUAUGAAGAAGGCCUUCGGGUUGUAAAGUACUGUCAGCGGGGAGGCGUUACCCACACAGGAAGCACCGGCUAACUCCGUGCCAGCAGCCGCGGUAAUUC